CCAAAGCACAAAGAAAAUCGCACCUCAAUUCCCUCUCCAAAGCACAGAGAAAGAGACGCGCCACCUGGUACCCAACUCCCCGACGCCAGCCACCCAUGACGUCGCCGCCGUCUCCCCGCUUGGUUCGCACGCCGAUGCAGCACACCGGCCCGCACCUCAAAUUGUGUCUCCCCUGCCGCCUGCGGCGCUCCAGCACGGCUCGCCUCCGUGAGCUGACUUCCCCGGCCUGCUUCAAACCCUUGCGCCGGCGUCGAGGACGACGACGCCCAGCCUCGCGCGGUGCUGCUAGCCCUCGCCUUCGAUUCAACAGCCGUGUCAGCCGCUGCUUGUCCGCGCGCGAACUCCGGCGCCCCUGCCUCGCCGGCGUCUUCGCGUGGUCGCCCAACACCAUGGACGCGGCCGUGAGCGCCAGAUGGGGCGCGUCCACGACCUGCAGGACCUCGCCCCACAACCACGCCGCCGUCCAUCCAGGAGCACCUCUCGCCACCCAAAGGUGUCCCUGGCAAGAGUGGAAACCAGCCAGUGUGCUCACCGCGGAGGCGUGCAGUUGCAAGCGGUUCCUUCUUCUUCGACUCCAUGGUUUUCGAUGCACAAGUGUAUGCGGCCAUGUCACCGAGCUGUCGCUCUUGCUGGCCACCACUCCGACCUGCAGCUACUGGCGAUGGUUUCGGUGGCGCAACUGCUGCUGGGCUGGCCAGAGCCUCCUGCGCCUGGAGCCGUGCUCCAAUCAUGCGCGGAUGCAGAUGAUCACAUGUCCAGGAGGUUGACGCCGCGGCGACCUCGACACCACCAUCGAGGAGAUCGUCAACAUUGGCUCCCAAAGAUGAUGCUUUGAUCUAUGUUGACGAGGAUCUUCCCUAAGCAUACGGUUGUAAAGUUGAUGAUAGUUUCUGAAUUUGAUCUCCAUGCACAGCAACCUUGUUCUUGUGCCUUGUAAUGUAAUGAAGUGCAUCAAUCGAUCACUGCCAGGAUAUUUGUUUUAUCCAUCCUGGUGUGAUAGGUAGUAUGACAAAAGGAGGCAAUUUAAGUUAGUCCAUACGGUUUGCUUUCUCAGCUUUACCUUUGGCAAUAUGUAUGUUUUUUUGUGUGGUAAUAAAGUUCUUACUUUAUUAUUUCAUUUCCUGUUGGAGGGAUGUCAUGUGGCAAGCAAAGUAAGGGAUGGGGAAGACUGCUGGUUUUAUUGUGCCACACAAGAGAGCUGGCUUAAUUACCAGCUCUAUUCUAUGGAGUUGUUCACAUAAAGAAGGAUUUAUUUGAUGUCCUCAUUGUGGUGGGCACACCUGGAAGGAUUCUAGCUUCGGCUAGAGAGGAUCUUUCUUUGAACAAUGUGAGUGGAUCGAGCUAGAGCUGGCCCAGGAGGUAGCCAUGGCUGUUGGAUCUGUCUGGCAGGCAGCGAGGGCCUUCUUCGUCAAGUCUGUGGGUUAAGGAUACCGAGGAGGAGGAGGAGGAGGAGGAGGAGUAUAUGAAUGGAGGACAGGGUAGGUGCGGCUUGAGACCUGAUGCAUAUUACCUAGGAAGCUGGAAGACCUGAUGGCACCAAUAUGAAGCAGCAGCUUUGCAGAUGUUGUAACGCAGCAUGGUGUGUUGUGUUGUAUGUAACCAUGCGGAAACUUUGAUGAUGUGUGUCGCCGUUGCCCUUGACGUGUCGAGGAGUUUUGUGCUUGAUUCUACUCUGAUAUGUAUCUUGAAAAACAGGCGAGGACAUGCCAAAAUUUGGAGCAGUCAUUCCGUGGCA